CAAUUUCAGAGAGCAGUGCUCAAGAGGACUGUCUGCCAUUGCAGUCCAGACCUGCUCUGUCUGCAUGUUCCUCAGCAAGUGAUAAGAUGAGAAAUUCCAAUCCUGAGAAGAUUGCAUGGGUCACCCCUAUGUCUCAUCAGUCAGAGCCUCUGAAGGAUCACAGCAACAACAGCAGUUCUGGGCAGAGUUCUUCGUCUGGAAAUACUGAUGACGAGCAUGCGCAUGUACCUAAAUUAAGAAGGACUAGAAGUAUUCUAGUAAAACACAUGCACAGAAAAGAAGAAAAGCUUGGGAAGUGAUUGAGAUCCAGGCCGUGGAAACACACCUGAAAAACUUUAUCAGUUCAUGCCGUGUCCCAGGGAAGCUACCUUGCGAACAGUGCAAAAGAGCUGAGCCUUCAGCGCUUAAAAACAGAGAUUGGCAGAGUGUCAAAUUCUAUGUUCACAAUUGCGUUGUGGCUUACAAGAGAGAUUUGAGCCACAAUUUGUAUUUUUUUUUUUUUGUUUAUUUCAUUUGAAAAACAU